AGAAUGACUCUCGGCAACGGAUAUCUAGGCUCUUGCAUCGAUGAAGAACGUAGCGAAAUGCGAUACUUGGUGUGAAUUGCAGAAUCCCGUGAACCAUCGAGUCUUUGAACGCAAGUUGCGCCCGAUGCCAUUAGGCUGAGGGCACGUCUGCCUGGGCGUCACAU
rnacentral:rRNA from 5 species